UGGGGAAUAUUGGACAAUGGGCGAAAGCCUGAUCCAGCCAUGCCGCGUGUGUGAAGAAGGUCUUCGGAUUGUAAAGCACUUUAAGUUGGGAGGAAGGGCAGUAAGCGAAUACCUUGCUGUUUUGACGUUACCGACAGAAUAAGCACCGGCUAACUCUGUGCCAGCAGCCGCGGUAAUACAGAGGGUGCAAGCGUUAAUCGGAAUUACUGGGCGUAAAGCGCGCGUAGGUGGUUCGUUAAGUCAAAUGUGAAAUCCCCGAGCUUAACUUGGGAAUUGCAUUCGAUACUGGUUAGCUAGAGUGUGGGAGAGGAUGGUAGAAUUCCAGGUGUAGCGGUGAAAUGCGUAGAGAUCUGGAGGAAUACCGAUGGCGAAGGCAGCCAUCUGGCCUAACACUGACGCUGAGGUGCGAAAGCAUGGGGAGCAAACAGG
rnacentral:rRNA from 1 species